GAGGCUCAUAAAUAAAAUGAAAACUGUUACCCAGCGGAUCUAAAAACAGUUAUUAUGUCAGAGUUAAUCUUUGCACCACUCAUCGUCUUCCUACACACUGCGUUAAAUGUGAACCCCUAAAUACCCAGGGUCCUGCAUCAUAAAUCUUACUGUGCUAAUUCAUUUGCACAUUUAAAUUAGGAACACAUCAUCAUCAUCUACCUGAAUGGAAUCUAACCUUGUGGAAAUGAAGAUAAUUGUGUGUUUGUAAAGGAUGUCAAAGUAACGUGAGAUGAUGCAUUUUCAUUGAAAAAUAGGUAAGGCUGCCACGAAGUCUUCUAGAGUGCCUGACAAAUACCACGAAAGCGUAACGGUAGCCUACUGACUCUUCCUGCAGCCUGACUAGAGCCUACCGAUUUCUUUCAAGGAUUGGAAAGUAGUUCUGGGAGCUCCUCGACUUUGAACCAAACCGUUAACACCUGACCAUUCACAGCACAAAGUAUACGAAAAUGCAAGAAAACGAGACCACAACAAUGGACGUUUGGUUUACAAAGGGAUCCGCACGGAUAAUAUGUCCCACGAACAAGGAGCUCCUCAUGACACCGUUCUAUCCUUAUUAUUGGAUUUGAUCUAAUUUGGGUGAGUAGCCCUUCAGGAAGUCCCUGAGCUGCCUUUUUCUUCGGAAGCCUCGAUGCAGAACUGUGAAUAUGACAUCUUUCAUCUCACCUGAUAGGCGAGCCUUCCCCAAAUCCCAGUGUUCAUAUUUUCAUAAGCUGGCCAAAAUACCUUGGGAUAUAAAAUAUAUACAUUCCGAUUAUGGGGAAAGGAGAAAAGCAAGAUCAGAGCAGACUGAAACUAGGGAAAUUUAACUGCCGCCAGCAUUGUCUGAAGCUUCAUGGAAAACUCAGGCAUCAUGAGGCUGAUGGUACCAUCUGAAGAGACCCCC
rnacentral:lncRNA from 1 species